rnacentral:pre_miRNA from 1 species
AAUAAGAUCAUUUUUCAGAUUUUUGAUACAAUGUUUUGACUCUUCAUCCUAUUUGAAAUUUUUUUACGAUUAAUAUUUUUAUAUUUAGUAGAUGAUAAAACAUGAAUGAUACUUUAUGCAUGACUAAUUAUUUUAAGUUUUUGUACAAAUUUUUUAAAUAAGACGAAUGAUCAAACGCUGGGCACGGAAGAAC